rnacentral:rRNA from 1 species
ACUAACAAGGAUUCCCCUAGUAACUGCGAGUGAAGCGGGAAAAGCUCAAAUUUGAAAUCUGGUAGACUUAAAAGAGACUGCCCGAGUUGUAAUCUAGAGAAGUAUUUAUCCGCGCUGGACUGUGUACAAGUGUCCUGGAAUGGACUAUCAUAGAGGGUGAGAAUCCCGUCUUUGACACAGACUCCCGGGGCUUUGUGAUGUACUCUCAAAGAGUCGAGUUGUUUGGGAAUGCAGCUCUAAAUGGGUGGUAAAUUCCAUCUAAAGCUAAAUAUUGGCGAGAGACCGAUAGCGAACAAGUACCGUGAGGGAAAGAUGAAAAGAACUUUGGAAAGAGAGUUAAACAGUACGUGAAAUUGCUGAAAGGGAAACGCUUGAAGUCAGUCGCGUUGGCUGGGGAUCAACCUUAGCUUUCUUUGCUUUGGCUUACUUCCCAGUUGACGGGUCAGCAUCAGUUUUGACCAGUGGAUAAAGGCUAGGGGAAUGUGGCACCUUUAGGUGUGUUUAUAGCCCUUGGUCAUAUACAUUGGUUGGGACUGAGGAACUCAGUAAACUUGUUUGCUUAGGAUGCUGGCAUAAUGGCUUUAAGCGACCCGUCUUGAAACACGGACCAAGGAGUCUAACAUGCCCGCAAGUGUUUGGGUGGAAAACCCGAGCGCGUAAUGAAAGUGAAAAAGUUGAGAUCCCUGU